rnacentral:lncRNA from 1 species
GUCGACGUACUGGGCAUCGGGGACGUAGGUUAUCCCCGUGGCAUUCUCUCGGUAGCCCGACCCAUCGGGGAGGCCGCAGUCAAUGCUGAUGAAUCCUGCGUAAUCCAUUAAGUUGCACAUCGGGUUGCAAGAAGAGAACUAGAGGGCCUGCUUACCUGGCUGUGCUCCAACCGGCGCGUGCUCGAGUCUCAGGAGGAAGAAGAAGAAGAAGAAGACGAGGAAGGAGGAGCAUGGAAGGCCUCGACUUGGCGGAGAGUGCAUCGCUCUCGCAGACUCCGGUGACGGCAGGCUGCGGCUGGGCUGGCAAUUGAAGGAUGGAAUGGACGAGGGUUCAGCAUUUAUGGAUGUGACAAAUCAUUGUCAACGCUGUACUGGUAAGUCGGCCCCCCCAACGCCGCGGCAGGAAAUGUUGACCGGCAGAAUCUGAACACGGCGAGCCUAUUCUUGUUUCUUCUGAUCAUAUUCCAGGCUGUGUAGGGUUCGGUGGGCCUCCGAUUCAUUGAUCGGCGGCCGGCGAUGUGCCGUGCGCGGUCAGUUCGAGGGGGGAAUAGUUGGUGGAACAUUUCCCACGCCGGAAUGUUUCCUCAUCCGCCUUUUCCACGCCAUCGUCAACCGUUGACUUUGGGGACAUCCUUAAUUCGAAAAAAAAAAAUGAACAAUGGCGAUUGCUUUGCUCACGCGAUGGCGCGGGGUCGAAGGGAUACCGUAAUGGAUCCUGGUUGACCUGUUCAUCCGGGAGACAGCAAGUCGACGCCUUUCAUGAAGAGUUGCAUCUAUCCGUCUAGAAAGCUGCAUGGACAGCAAGUCGCCGCUUUAGAAGAGGUGAUUACAGGAAUAUCUUCUUACUUUCGUUUGGAGUUUCCUCUUUUUUUUUUCUCAAGUCUACACUAAAGUCCCCAUAAAACCUUCUGAAUUAUCUGUGCCCCUUCAAAUUUUAGUUACACUUGAUGCCAUUUCUUAUUUUUAGUUCAUCUCGUCUACCGAAUUAAUGUAGCGUGCGAACUUAUGGGACAUGGAUUAAAUUAACUUCCGAAAGUUUGUUUCUCUCUCUCUCUCCCUCUCUAAUGACCGCAUAGAAAGGGCCACACCUACUCAGACCAGCUUUUGGGUUGUUGAUGAGCUGUUUCACAGAGAGGCGUCCAGUCUUCGGUGGGCCCUGGGAGGGGUGUACAUGGCCCCCCCCGUUGAUCCCUGAUGGGGGCUUCUUGGUUCAUAGUUCGGGCCCGGUCGGAGCAGGUUUGGCCCUAUGGGCUUCGCGAGCCUGGAGGGCCAACCCCUUAGGAAACGCGAGCUCUGUGCCCUUCCCGGAGUGGUUGGACAAGCCGGGAAGGGUAUCUCAGAGGCUAUCGUGCUGCUUGCAUAAACCUUAGCAGAGGUACGUCUUCGCCGUCGUCGAGCAGACCAGAUCGCCCUCAUCCAUGAGAAACAAUGCGCCUCGUUAGAAAAGCUAAUCAUGCCAUCCUCCUCGUCAGAACUUAGAAUACCCAGAAGAAUUGCGAUUUUCAUGUCCUUUUUUUUUUUGGGGACAAAUAUGCGGGUGAAUGGCAGGUGGAAUAUCAGCUGGGCAACGGUAAUCUGUCAGCAAAUGACUCCGCCGUGAAGCUUAUAAACAAUGACUCGGAAGGCUACGGUGGGGCGCCCUACACCGGCAUGACCUCUGAAACUUCCCUUCUACCGUAUUUUGAACUGAUCCACAUCUAUAUGUCUAGGAUAUAUUUGAAUACCUCCUACGAGAGACGUAUUAUACCAUGAUCAUUGGGUCAUCGCGAAGCAAUUGCACAAGGAUAACCUGGUUUAACGCUUUUUAGUGGCGACGGAAUCGCGUUCUUCAAUUCAUAAAGUUAACCUAGAUGGAGCCGUAGAUCAAUGGAGUCCCGGAAACCGAGGGAGGGAUUCCGUUAAUUUUCUUAACUAGUAUAUGGUUGCAGUUUACAAUGGAAAUGAUCAGCGUACCGGGUUAGUCAUACGCUUUCCUCAUGUUUCACUUGAGCUAUUUGUUCCCAAUUCAUUAUGCUUCGUUACGGGUUAGUCAUUACGCUAUUUGUGGACAUUGAUGACAAGAAUAUUCAUCAUGCUAAUUUUAAGAAAAUUUGACUAACGUUUUUUAUAUGGUGUGUUAUUAUCAUAUCAUGAGAGAUUAUUCCCACUUCUAUGGUGUUCCACACUGUAGUAAUUUUUCUAUACAUCAUGCUUUGUAGUCAUAAAGAUGAAAUAUUAAAAUAUUAAAAUCUGUCUAGUGAGAGCAGGAAACCCUUCGAUCAAAUUCAUGUUCACACAAAGAAAAGUGUCUCCUUAUUCCCCAUAAUAUGAUUCACAUCAUGAUGAGAACUAGUAGAACCAGUGAUGUGGUUAUGGUGAUGGGAACAUGAUUCUCUUGUCUGUUUGAAAAAGAUGAACUUGGGCUUGGGGCACUUGGGCUUGGGGCAUUCGAACUUGGGCUUGGUGAAUUGGACCUUGGCUGAAUGGAGCACAUCUCUUCAAGCCGUUUGAAACUAAGUUUUGAAAGAUGGUCAACAAAAAUAAUUUUUUGGUCAAUACAAAUAGGAAAUCGCAAGAUGAAAAAUCUGCAGCCUAUCAUAGCAUUAUAGCCUGUGAUCUCAUGGUAAGAGAGGCAUACAGCAACUUAUAUUCAUGAAGUAAUUUAUCAAAAUAGAUAUGGAAGUUUUUACGUUAUUAUUCAAAUGAAAAGUGACGAUCGGAGACAUUUAUUUGAAUUAAUACGCGGACGAACCUUACAGAAAGACGCCCGUUCAGUACUUUUGUGCAAAAGUAUUCAUACGGUAGAGUGAUGUUAUUGCCAGCCAAAUUCCUGAUAGAAAGGUUGAGCGGCAUCAUUUUAUUACUGAUAUAUUAAAUUAGUAUGAACUGAGGAAGCCAAAAUUUUGAGUCUCACAUCAACUCAAGAGCAGGUAACUCUGUCAAAAAGUCUGGAAACAUGCCGGAAAGACUGUUGUUUGACAAAUCCCUAAAACAAAAGAACAAAAAUAUUAACCUUAAAAGUGUUCCUUCGAGUUAAAGGCUUCCAAAGCUCCAUAAGUAGUGCUUACAAGGUUGGUAAGGCAGUGAGGUUCGCAAUUGACCCCGUAAUUCCACCAACGAGUCCACUCGACGAUAAGUUCCUGCAUCACUCAAAGAAACCCAACUCAGAUAAAUAAAUAAUUGGUGAGUGAUAUUUGGAUCUGGUUUCGUAUUGAAUGGGGUGAGCCCAAUUACAAUGAGAUGAUUCUUGGGGUUUCGGAUCCGUUAUAGUAGUCGCAGCGCAACCCAUCCCACGUAUAGUUCUUGGGGACGCAUGGGUCCCCCUGCCAAUUUCUCGUCAGAUUGCAAGCUGCUCUGAUGCCUUGGAUGGCGCGAACUGGGCAGAAGAUCGGGGUAACUAAAUCGCUGAGAUUUAAACAAAUAGAAUCGCAACACUUUCUCCCAUGUCGAAUAACCCAGACAAAAAUAAGGUUGGCGAUGUCGGGGGGUCCGGGCGAAAUUUUUGGGCGGAAUCUUAAGAAGAUGGGAGAAUAUCGAUGGUUUCACCGUUGGGCCGCUCUUUUUUUUCAAAGUCAGUCGGGGAUAGUAGUCAUUUUUUUUCCAAAAGUUAAAUCGAGGUGUCAGCGAGACGAAGUAGUUAAUAGAGCGAACGACAUUAAAAGGGGAGGUCAAUCGGGUCUCACCAUCGCCAAGGUCAGUCGGCAGUUCGUCGACUUUCCUCACCAGAAAGCUCUCCAUGGCGUUAAUCAUCGGAGGCAGCGUCGAUGCGUUCGAAGGGAACAGGGAGAUGUUGUAUAUCCCCGUCUGUCCAACUGGGGCGUCGGUGACCGUUACGUGAUCCGCCUCCAGGAACGGAGCGCUGUAAUUCCAUAGAAACGCCCCAGUGCUGCCCUCCCCUAGGAUGUCCAUGAUCCUCGUCUGGUUGGGGCGGCUCAAAUUCUGGAGCUCGGCGAAGUGCAAGACGGCGUAGACUAUGUCGUCCGGAUCUCCGACGGCCGCCCGGAGGAUCAACCAGUAGCUGACGUUUGGAAAAAAGAUGGCCGUCCUCAUGACCAGUGAGGGUACCUGGAAGGGGUCAGCUGGAGUCGCCGCCACAGGGCUGGUGGUGUUAAUGACAGGAAAACUCCCCGUAAGGCCAAACCAGAAGCGGUCGUAGGGGUCCUGCGGGUACCUACAGGCGAGUUGACUUUUCUACUCAGAUUCAUGCUGAUGAUGAAUCAUUCAGAGAAGGAAGACCCUACUUAGUAUCUAAUUUACUGCAUAACGUAGACAUCAAGGAAGGGGGGGGGGGUUGGCCAAGUACGCGUUUUCCAUGCGGAUGUCUUUCACCUUAAUAGGGCCUUUGUUCCGAAGUUGGAGCGUCGUUGCAGAUGCAAACUCUGAGACGCGUUGGCGAGGGGGUAUAAGGAGUUUGGAAGCCGCCUUACUUCGAUCAUCGAUAUCAGGGGUGUCCCUUUGUUGGUGUUCACCAGGCAGACCCAUAUGGAGUCCCCCUGGGCCGCCGCGAUGACCUCGGAGAAAACGGCGAUGGUGGACGGCAAUUGGAUGGUGAGCCUGGCGUUGACCCCGAUGUGGAGCUCGAGCUCGGGGGGAUUUGCAGUCCGUCGUAGUCGCCGUAGAAGAACCCGGUUCGCACCAGGUACUUGUCCCCGGGCUGCACCGGCCGGAUGUUGUAGCAGUUCCGAACCCCCUGUGGGAAGAAGCGGAGGGUCCGAUACGGCGUGGAGAUCCCCUCCCCUGCAACGGUCUUCGUCUCCCCCGCGUCGACGUACUGGGCAUCUGGGACGUAGGCUAUCCCGGUGGCGUUGUCUCGGUAGCCCGGCCCAUCAGGCAGGCCGCAGUCCACGCUGAUGAAUCCUGCGCGCAUGCGUCCCACAAAGUCUCGGAUUAUACGCUGCAGUCGGAUCUUUGAAGGAUAAAUAGGGGGCAUACCUGGCUGGGCUCCAACCGGAGCGUCCUCGAGUCCCAGGAAGAGGAAGACGAUGUAGAAGAAGGAGCGUGAGAGGCCUCGACUUGGCGGAGAGUUGAUCGCUCUCAUCGCUCUCACCGCCUCCGGCGGCGGCAGGUCUGCGGAUGGGCUGGCGAUCGACGGACGGAAUGGAGGAACACGCGGGGGAAUGGAGGACGAGGAAUUCGUCAUUUAUGGAUGUUGCCAAGUCAAUGUCAACGCUGUACGGACAAGCCGUGUCAACCGUUCACUAGGUGGACCCCCCCUUAAUUCAAUGAAAAAAAUGAAUGCGUGGGUCAUUACAUAAUAGCUGGAUUGAGAUUGUUUUCAGCUCACAAGGCGGCGUGUGCUCGAGGGAGUAGUCGAUCUAAGUUGACUUGUUCAUCCGGGAUACAGAAAGUCAACGCGUUCUGGAUGAAAAAGUCGGAUCCAAUGCGUUCAAGGAAAUGAUAUGGAUAGACUGACGACGAAGACCGGUUCUCGCCGCUUUAGAAGCACAGGUUAUAACAAAUAAGUUCCUACAAUCAUCAUCAUCUCUCAUGAGAGUACGAUAUUUCUCAUUUUUUAGGCCGGCUUUUCUGAUUGUAUGUCGAAUGUACUCUGUAACUAUAUGGAACAUGGAUUGAAUCACCUUCAUAAUGACUGCGCACAGCCGGCCACACCGACAUCACGCCAGCUUUUGGGCUGUGCGUGGCCUGCCGUCCUGUCUUUGGUGGGCUGGGGGUGUGUACUUGGGCCGGCCCAUUUAACCCAGAAUUGUAAGGAUGCCUCGUGACAGCGUGUUUAUUCCAGGUGGCAGAGACGAGUCACGAGGGGGCUUCUUGGUCCGUAGCCCGGGCCCGAACCGGGCCGGAGUGGCCCGAUGGGGAUUGGCGGGCCGAGGGAGCCCGAAGCUUCCGGGGCUGUUUUCCCAGACGCGGGGAAGGGUUUCUCAGAAGCUCUCGUGCUGCUUGCCAAAAACCCUAGCCGAGGCGGGGGCGGAGGGGGAGCCUGCGACCGCAGCUCCGUCUUCGUCCGCGGCUGGUUAUCCGCGCCAGAAACUCUCUUCGGAUGGUGGAUGCGCGGGUGCACGAGGCCCUCCUCCUCCUCUCUCUGUAUUCCUUUCCUUGACCACGCGCCUCUUCUUUGUUCGCUUCUCCACCUGCGUUCUCCUUCGUCACGGUCUAAUGAGCCGUUAAGCUGUGGGAGAUUUUACCUCUCCGGACGCUGGAACGACUUCUUUCAAUUAAUUAUCUCGCAUUUUGUUGGAAAACUUUCUUCAACGCAGCUCCUUAGUCGUCCGGAAAUCUGCGGCUCGUUCUAACUGGCUGCUGUUCAUUGCAGGCUGCAUCAGCUUCUGUUGAAUCAAUUUCUUUCGGCGCCUUCUUCGCCGUGGAGAACACUAGGAAGAUGAGUGUGAAAUAGGACUACAAGAUCGGACCUUCUUGGUGUCAAUGGCAGACCAGUGGCAGAUGGACUCUACGACCCUGCACUGGGUCCAGUAUAUGGAUCUGAUCUGUGGGCGUUGACUUUCGUCUUUCUGUUAUUUGCAGUGUAUCAUCAAGGCACUUUCCAGUGCAUGCAGUCAGUGGGGCUGAUGCCCAAAUGGUUUGGACCAUUUCUGUGUGUGAUGAACCUGCUACAGACGCACAAGGACUGGCUACGCAUUAGAUAUUGUAUGGGCCCUUUGUGAUUGGGUCGGAUGUCAAGAGAAGACACUUACUCCACUCCAUAACCUAUCGAUUGAAUGGGUUAUAGACUACUGGGUUGAUCGGCGCCGGCCGCUGGACAAGAGAACAACAUUAAGCCAACUAUUGGUGUUAAGGAACUGUUCGGAUAACCAUGGCUUAUCAAGGAAGUAGACUAAGUAAGGUUUCUCUUAUUAGCAAAGGCUUUCGAUGAUCUAGGAAACAUCACAACUUCUCAGAUUGAUUAAUGUGGCUGGGAAUGCUUCUUCGACGUUCAUAAUCGAAGCCCACCUUCUAAUAGUCUUUCUAGCUUACGCUGUGGAUCAAACAUCAUGUAUCAAAGCGUCCUCAUGCAAGCCUCACGCUCAUAACCUCUAAAUUCUUACAGAACAAAUAGGCCUUGGUUUUUUACAGACAAUUUCAUUUUUAACUAUGCUCACACGCAGAAGACGAUUGUCUAAUGGUUGGUAACUUAACCUAAGUUUGAGCUCGUCCUUCUAACUCUUGAGAUGUGGCUCGAGAAGGACAACUUCAAGAUUAAAGCUCUAAUAGGGGAUGCUUCUAGUUUCGCAUAUACCGAUUACAUUAUUUUUGGAUUUAAGUUAAUAUGAUGCAAAUGUUGUCCAAACAUUUGGCAGCAUAUAUCCCGUGCAUCAGACCUAAAUGUGAUGCUUCCAGUAAAUGGAAAACCUUGAACACGUUCCGAAUCUUCCAACGUUUGAUGCUUAAAUUAGUCAUUUCUUUAGGGAUGGAGUACGCUCGCAGAAGUUCUUUCACUAUGAUACACUCUUUUCCAGAUGUUUGGAAUAUUAAUUCAUUUAGUCGGCUGUGAAGAUUGUUGACAAGAAGAAGCAGCGUGCUCAUUUUUCAGAAUAUUUGACCCAACUUGUCUGUAUGGCGUGUAAUUACUGAAUCAUGCAAGAUUGUCCACACUUCUGUGUUUUCCCACCGUGUAGCAUUUUUCAUAUACAUCAUAUUAUGCAGUACACAUCAGGUAGAGAAUGUAAUAACUAAGAGAACCACACACAAAUGCCAAAAUAUGUCUCAUGAAAAGCAAGAAACACUUGGAUGAAAUUUAUCUUGACAAUAAGAAAGGUCUCACCUUAUUCCCCUUAAAAUGAUUCACAACAAGAUGACAACUAGCAAAAUUAGUGAUGUUGUUAUGUUGAUGGGAGCGAUAUACUUUUGCUUGUUCGAGAACGAUGAACUUGUCCUUGGUGAAUUGGAACUUGGGCUUGGUGAAUUGGAACUUGGUUGAAUGGAGCACAGCUCUUCAAGCCCUUCAAUCCUAAAUUUUUGAAAAAUAGUCAACAAAAAUAGUUUUUUGUUCACAACAAAUAGGAAAUCACAAGAUCGAAAAUCUGCAGCUGAUCAUAACAUAAUAGCCUCUGAUCUCAAGGUGUGAGAGACAUGCAGCUAUGUCUAUUCGUGAAGUAUUUUUCCAAUAUAGAGAUAAGUGAUGGUUUCCGUUAUUGUUAAAAUUGAAAGUAAUGACUGGACCCAUUCAUUUUAAAUAAUCAGGAUGAACCUUAAAGAAAGACGCCCGUCUGAUACUUUUGCGCAGAGGUCUUCAAAUGGUAAAAUGAUGUUAUUUCCGACCAAAUUCCUGAAAGAAAAGAUGAAAGACACCAUUUCAUCAUCGAGACAUUUGAAUGAUGUCAACUAAGGAAGCCAAGAGCUUGAAACUUACAGCAAUUUAAGAGCAGGUAACUUUGUCAAGAAGUCAGGAAACGUGCCCGAAAGGUUGUUAUUUGACAAAUCCCUAUAAAAAAUGACAAAAGAUAUAAAUCUCCUUAAAAGUGUCCAUUCCAGCUGAGGCUUCCGAAACCAUAAAAGGUUCUUACAGGCUUGUUAAGGCAGUGAGGUUCGCAAUUGACCCCGUAAUUCCACCAACGAGUCCACUCGACGAUAAGUUCCUGCGUCAUUUAAAUAAAGACAACUCAGAUAAAUAAAUAGUUGGUAAGUGAUAUUCGAUUCUGGUUUCCGAUUGAAUGGGGUGAACCCACUUACAAAGAGAUGAUUCUUGGGGAUUCGAAUCCGUCAUAGUAGUUGCAGCGCAACCCAUCCCACGUAUAGUUCUUGGGGACACAUGGGUCCCCCUGCCAAUUUCUUGUCAGAUUGUACACUGCCCUAAUGUCUUGGAUGGCACGCACUGAACAGAAGAACGCAGUAAACAAGUAGCCGAAAUAUGAACCAAUAAAACCGCAACAGUUUCUUCCAUGUCCAAUUACCUGCUCAAAAAAAUCGGCGAUGUCGGGGUGUCUAGGGAAAAGUUUUUGCUUAAUUCUUUAAAAUAAGAAAGGGGAAAAUCGAUGGUUUUACAGUUGGGCCGCUAGUCCUUUUGUAAACUCAGUUCGGGAUAACGGCUACUUUUUUUUCAAAAGUCAAAGCAGGGGGCUAACGGAACAGACUAAUUAAUAGAGUGACGAAAUUAUAAAAACGGAGGUCAAUCGGGUCUCACCAUCGCGGAUGUCAGUCGGAAGUUCGUCGACAUUCCUCACCAGAAAGCUCUCCAUGGCGUUGAUCAUCGGAGGCAGCGUCGAUGUGUUCGAAGGGAUCAGGGAGAUGUUGUAUAUUCCCGUCUGUCCAACUGCGGCGUUGGUGACCGUUGCGUGAUCCGCCUCCAGGAACGGAGGACUGUAAUUCAAGAGAAACCUUGCAUCGUCACCCUUCGCGACGAUGUUCAUGAUUCUCGUCUGGUUGGUGCCGGUCAAAUUCUGGAGCUCGGCGAAGUGCAAGACGGCGUGAACUCUGUCGUCUGGAUCUCCGACCGCCGCCGUGAUUCGCAACCCAACGCUGACGUUUCCAGACGAGACGGCCGUCCCCAGCACUAAUGACGGUACCUGGAAGCGGUCAGUUGGAUCCGCCUCUACAGGUCUGGUGGUGUUAAUCACAAAACUCCCCGCCAAGCCUUGCCAGAUGCGGUCGUAUGGGUCUUCUGGGUACCUACAAGCGAGUUGACUUCUGUUCUCAGAUUCAUGCUGAUGACCGAUCGUUCAUGGACGGAAACCCCUACUUAGUCUCUAAUUUACUGCAUAACGAAGACAGAAAGGAAGGGGGGGUUGGCCAAGUACGGGUUUUCCAUGCGGAUGUCUUUCACCUUAAUAGGGCCUCUGUUCCGAAGUUCAAGCGCCGUUGGAGAUACAAGCUCUGAGACGCAUUGGCGGAGGGGUAUAAGGAGCUCGGGAGCCGCCUUACUUCGAUCGUCGAUAUCAGGGGCGUCCCUUUGUUCGUGUUGAUUAGGCAUACCCAUAUGGUGUCCCCCUGGGCCGCCGCGAUGACCUCGGAGAGACGAGCGCUGUUGGACGACAAUCGGAUGGUUAGCCUGGCGUUGACCCCGAUGUGCAGCUCGAACUCCGGGGGGCUUUGCAGGCCGUCGUAGUCGCCGUAGAAGAACCCGGCUCGCACCAGGUACUUGUCCCCAGGCUGCACCUGCCGGAGGUUGUAGCAGUUCCGAACCCCCUCCGGGAAGACGCGGAGGGUCCGAUACGGCGUGGGGAUCCCCAGCCCUGCAACGGUCUUCGUCUCCCCCGCGUCGACGUACUGGGCAUCUGGGAGGUAGGUUAUCCCGGUGGCGUUGUCUUGGUAGCCCGGCCCUUCAGGCAGGCCGCAGUCAACGCUGAGGAAUCCUGCGUGCAUGCGUCCCACAAAGCCACGGAUUAUACGCUGCAAUCGGAUCUUUGAAGGAAAAACAGGGGGCUUACCUGGCUGGGCUCCAACCAGAGCGUCCUCGAGUCCAAGGAAGAGGAAGACGAUGAAGAAGAAGGAGCGUGUGAGGCCUCGACGUGGCGGAGAGUUCAUCGCUUUCAUCGGUCUCACCGCCUCCGGCGACGGCAGGCUGCGGCUGAGCUGUGGAUUGACGGAGGGGAUGGAGGGCGAGGAGUUCGCUCUUUAUGGAUGUUCCCGAGUCAAUGUGAACGUCGGGGGUUAGCUAGUGUUGACCGGCGAGCUGUGGCCGUCGCGAGCCUGUUUCGCUUUUCUUCGUUUGUUCUGAUUAUUUUCCAAUCUGCGCAGCCGAGUCCUGGGCCUCUUCUUCCUUGCGCAGGUUGUGCUUCGGCUUGGUCAACCCGACGCACCGUAGUAGUUAGUUUUGAUAUUUCAACACGACGUAAAGUUUCCGCCGACGCUCCAUUUCCGCGAAGCCGUCAACCGCUCACUUUCUGGGCCCCCUUAUUUAUCAAAAAAAAAAGAACAGUGGGGGUUAUUCCAUAAUAUCGGGAUUUCGAUUGCUCUUCGCCCAUGUUGACUUGUGCAUCCCAGAGACAGAAAGUCAACGCCCAGACGAAAAACUUGCAUCCAUCCACUCUGGGAAGUCAUACGGAUGGAUAGACACUGCGGUUCCGGGCGCUUUAGCAGCAUAUGUUAUAAGCAGAUCUUGCCCAAUUUUUUUUAAUUUUCUGUGUACGUGCGUUUGAAAGAUGCAUUUAAAUUAUCUUUGCCCCCUUCAAUUUUUUGUUAUAUUUUGAAGGCCCUUGGAAGGAUGCUAUUUCCUUUUUUAAAAACUCGCCUUGUCUGAUUAUCUGUUGAAUGUACCGUACAACUGCGUACAGCCGGCUACUCGUACUCACGCGACCUUUUGGGCCGCCUAUGGGCCUUCUUUUUAUAAAAGAGGCGUCCUGUGUCUGAUGGGCCCUGGGCGCGUGAACUUGGGCCGGCCCAUUGUCACUGGAAAAGGGCAGGCGCCUCACAUCCACGUGGCAUAUAUGAGAGGGGGCCUCUUGGUCUAUAGUUCGGGCCCGGGCCUGGGCCGGACCGAAGUGGCCCGAUGGGUGCUGGCAGCCCGGGGAGCCUGCCCGUGUGACUAAGAGCUUCGGAGGUUGAUUGCAUACAUGGGGAAGGUUUUUUCACAAGCUCUCGUGCUGCUUGGCCACGGAGACAGCCUGCGAGAGCAGCUCCGUCUACAUCUGCGUCUGGUGAUGUGGGCCAGAAACUCUCCUACGAUGGCGGCUGAACGAGGUCCUCCUCUUCCUUUGUUGAAUCGAUUUCUUUCGGAACCUUCUUAACCGAGAAGAACACUAGGAAGAUGAGUGCGAAAAAGGACUACAAAAGCAGAUCUUGAUGUCAAUGACAGACCAGUGGUAGGUGCACUGUGUCCAGAAUAUGGAUUUCACUUGUGAGCGUUGACUUUUCUAUUUCUGUUCUUUGCAGUGUAUGAUCACCGCAAUUUCCAUUACAUGCAAUCAGUGGGGCUGGUGCCUAGUUGGGCAGACGCUAAAUUGAGAUCGAGUCCAUUUGACUGCGUCUUGGGUCAGAGCUCACUUGAUUUGUGCAGAAUCUUUGGUAGAGUCCGAUUGACUGGGCAUGAGUUAGAAUCUCCUCCACAUAUUCUUGUUCUGUUCUUUUUAUUCUUACUUUAUUGGAAUGCAUCCACAUAACUUUACUGGUACUAUUAUAUAGGCCCAUUGCCAUUGGGAUGGACCUUCUCUUUGAGUGAUGAACCAGCUAGAUGCAUCCAAGGACUGGCUACGCAUUAGAUAUUGAACAAGCCCAUUUUGUGACUUGGUUGAAUGUCAAGGGAAGAUGCCCACUCGAUUGCACAACCUCAUCAAUUGAAUAGGUUAUAGAUUAUUGGGCUUGAUCGAUGCCAGCCACUAGACAUGAGAACAACAUUAAGCCGACUAUUGUUGUCAAGGAACUAUUUUGAUAAUCAUGACUAAUCAAGGAACUAGAUUAAGGUUGGUUUCUUAUAUUCACAAAGGCUUUCAAUAAUUUAGGAAACAUCAUAACUUCUCAUAUUGAUUAGUGUGGUUGGGAAUGGCUCUUUGACAUUCAUAAUUGUGUCCAUACUAUGCAUCUUUUGCCAAAUGACUAUAGAGGACUUCCCUCAUGUUUGCUUUAUAUUCAUAGAGAGCUUCUUCUGAACCCACCUUCUUAUAAUCUUACUGGCUUGCAUUAUUAAUCUAAGUGUUAAUAAUAAGUAGCCUACAAGUCAAUCACACUAUACACAUACCAUUCAUUUUAUUAUAAAUUUCAUAUUAAUUAAUAUACAUAUUUGAUGUUUAUACAUAAAGUUCAAAGAUAUGUACGAUAGUAAACAAAUUAUGGUGAGAUCAAUUCUAGUGAUUAUAAGAUAUAUCUUAAAUGUUUAUAUUCAUAAGAUAUUAGAGAAGGACAUUAGAUAUAUGCAUAUAAUAGUAAUACUUGCUCUUACUCAUAUGAUAAGGAUAAUUGAUCUUGUGAUCAUUUGUGUGGAAACACUAAAGAGGGGUAUUGAGUGUUUUUUAAAGAAAUCAUUCAUUAAAUUGAUCUAUAUGAAUCCCUACAUAGUAUUGUACUUAACUAUCAAUCAAGUUGAUUCAUGCCACAAUUAUAUAAAUGAUCCUUAGACUUGAGAUGCCAAAGACAUUUUAUAGAUGGAUUAUUGUGUUUUAACUUUAACCUACAAGUAUAUGAUCAUGAGACUUAAAACCAUCAAAACUUAAUCACAAUAAAAUAUCUACGAAAGUGGUUGUGUGGUCAAGAUCAGAUUAUCUGCCCUUAGUACUAAGAGGAGACAAACUCUAAAAAUAGUGUAAUUAAGGUCUUAUUUAAGACAAAGGGAAAUAUCACAAAAAAAAGUUUUUUGAUGAUUUCUAAUCACACUAGUUUCAAUUGGGCUGACUAAUUAGGAUUUUAUAAUUGACCAUGCCCUAAGUCAUUCGAGGGGUGACAUGCAGAUGAUAGAUUAUAUAUAUAUAGUAACUCCUAACUGACAAGUUUCAAGAGAGAGGACGAUGCAUGGGAGAGAGAGAGAGAGGAUGAUGCCUAGGAGAGAGAGAGAGAAAGGGUGAUGUGAGAGAGAGAGUGGGUGGCUGGCUAGGAGAGAGAAAGCGGGGAAAGGCACGCGAGAGAGAGAUAGCCGUGGGAAAGAGAGAAAGAGAGGGAGAGACACAAGAGAGAGGAAGAUGCAUGAGGAAGAAAAAGGAAGAGAGAGAACAUGUAAGGGAGAGGAACACGUGCGAGUAAGAAAGAGGAAGAGAAAGAACACACAAGGGAGAAAUGCACGAGGAAGAAAGAGGAAAGAGAGAGAAUGCACAAGGGAGAAACGCAUGAGGAAGAAAGAGAAAAAGAGAGAAGAUAGAUGAGACCAGGUCUCAACAAAUUUUUCCCAAAUGACUCUCUGUAAACAUGUUCUUGUGCCCCUUUUAUAGGCACUAAUGUGACAGUUAAUAGAAAGGGGCGUGAAUAAAAAGAGAGGAAGGAGGUAGUUAUAGGCGCCCCCUUUGGUACUAAGUGACACCCCUUCAAAGGUUGUCAUGGGAUGGUUCCCCUAUUGGUGCCAGGUGGCAUAUGUCUUCUAGCAUGUACUCCAUGGCUUCUUCUCCUUCAGGCUUUUCUUCCUCCUCUUUGACUGAUUGUCCCCACCAGAUAUACCUCAAUAUUGUUUUUCAUGAAAUAAAUGUUUUCUUGCAACUUCUCUUCCUUUUCUGAAGAGCUUUCAUCAUCACUCCCCAUUGCCACUAUUACUCUUUUCUAUGUUGUCCUUUGUUGUAGACUUGGGUAGUGAACCUUCAUGUGUCCUAUUUGUCUACAUUUAAAACAUUUCAUAUCUCUUUUUAUGUUAUCAAAACCAGUGUUAGAGUUUUGAAUCUUUUGCGCAUGAUCUUGCUCCUGGAUCUUAUUAAUAUUCUGCUUAUCUUCUUAGAUAGCUUUAUUUACUACAUAAGGAAGACAACAAGGAGGUGGGAGGAGGAGGUUGGCCAAGUAUGCAUUUUUCAUGCGGAUGCCUUUCACCUAAGUAGGGCCUCUAUUUUAAAGUUAGAGCAUUCAUUGGAGGUGUAAACUUUGACACACAUUGGUAUGGGGGUAUGAGGAGCUCAUGAGCCACCUUACUUCGAUCGUCGAUAUUAGGGACUUCCCUUUGUUUGUUGAUUAGGCAUACCCAUAUGAUGUUCCCUUGGGCUGCCACGAUGACCUUGGGGAGACGAGCACUAUCAAACAACAAUCUGAUGGUGAGCUUGACAUUGACCCCGAUGUGCAGCUCAAACUCCAAGGGGCUUUGCAGGCCAUCGUACUCGCCGUAGAAGAACCCAGCUUGCACCAAGUACUUGUCCCUAGGCUGCACCAGCCAAAGGUUGUAGUAGUUCUGGGCUCCCUCUAGGAAAUCAUGGAGGGUCUAAUAUCAUCUGGGAAGGCCUCUACUGCAAUGGUCUUCAUCUCUCCCAAAUCUAUGUACUGAGAAUCUGGGACCAAAGUACACUGAUCGUGAUUGUUUGAUCAUUGAAUUAACGAUCAUGAUCAACCGAUUGAUGAUCACAAUCAAAGAAAAGGGUCAUGAUCACCUACAAUUGACCUAUCCAUUGGAUGAUUAAUUUCCAUCAUCUGACGGUUAAGAUUCAACAUCAAAGAGAAAGAUUAAAUCUCUCUUUCUCUAUCUCGACUCCUGGUCCUACUCCUAUUGUUUGCCACCUCUCUCUUUUCCCGUCAAAGACUGACUUUGCUGCCGCCAACUUUACCACUACUGCCUCUCUUUUCUUCCACUCUUUGAGACCAACUUCAUCGUCACUAGCUUCACUAUUGCUGCUAGGUCAAUUGCCACCACCUCCAUUCUCUCUCUUUAUCUUUCUCUUUCCUCUCUCUCUCUCUCUAUCUCUAUUUCUCCCACCCCCCCACCACCCUAUUCUCUCUCCUACUAAUUAAGUAGGGUCUUCUACCCUAAACCCUAUUANNNNNNNNNNNNNNNNNNNNNNNNNNNNNNNNNNNNNNNNNNNNNNNNNNNNNNNNNNNNNNNNNNNNNNNNNNNNNNNNNNNNNNNNNNNNNNNNNNNNNNNNNNNNNNNNNNNNNNNNNNNNNNNNNNNNNNNNNNNNNNNNNNNNNNNNNNNNNNNNNNNNNNNNNNNNNNNNNNNNNNNNNNNNNNNNNCUUCUCUUCCUCUCUCUCUCUCUCUAUCUCUAUUUCUCACCCCCCCACCACCCAUUCUCUCUCCUCAAUUAAUAGGGCUUCUCCUAAACCCUAUAUUUGCCAUUGCCUUUCUCUCUCCUUCUACUCUCGGAGACUGACUCUAUUGCUGCCAACUUCACUAUUGGUAGUAAAAAAAGUGUAUAUUUCUUUUUGUUGUAUCUUAAGAUGCUUCAUUGGACUAAUUGAUAAACUAAUUUCAUUUAAUGUCACUAUCCAUAGAUUUAUGUCUUAAAAGAUAAGGAUUAUAACUAAUAUAUGUAUAUAUAUUAAAAUCUUAGGAAGCUUAAUUAUACUAAUCUUAAUGAAGUUAUUACGUCUAAUACACAUCUUUAUAAAUUUAGGCUUAUUUAUAUGUAAUAUAUAUAAUAUACAUAGCAUAUACAUAUUAUAUAAAUAUUAUGCUUAUGUAUGUAUAGUAGUAUACAUACCUAUAUAUAAUUAUAUUUAAUAUUUAUGUAUAUAUUUAAUAUACAUAUUGUAUACAUGCUAAUACAUGAAACUUUGGUCUAAUAUAUGAAUAUAUAUUAUGCCAACAUAUAUAUAGUAGUAUAUAAAUUUAUGUGUAAUAUUUUUAUGUACAUUUCAUAUAUGUAUCAUAUACAUAUUUAGGCCUAAUAUAUAAAUAUAUAUUACGUCUAUGUAUAUGUUGUAGUACAUAUUUUUAUAGAUAUUUAUAUAUAAUAUUUACAUAUAAUAUAUAUUUAUAUAUAAUAAUAUUAUAUGGUGAUCACCCAAUGAUGAUCAAUUGAAUUGUCAACAAUUGAUGAUCACGAUUAGCAAUUUUUGCUGAUUGGAUCGUUGAUCAUUCUAGAGCGGUGAUCGAUCAUGAUCGGCGAACUUUAUCUGAGACGUAGGUUAUCCCGGUUACGUUGUCUUGGUUGCCCGGCUCAGGAGGCAGGCCGCAGUCAACGCUGAUGAAUCCUGCGUGCAUGCGUCCCACAAAGCCUCGGAUUAUACGCUGCAAUCGGAUCUUUGAAGGAAAAAGAGGGGACAUGCCUGGCUGGGCUCCAACUAGAGCGUCCUCGAGUCUCAGGAAGAGGAAGACGAUGAAGGAGGAGGAGCGUGGGAGGCCUCGACUUGGCGGAGAGUUCAUCGCUCUCCUCGCUCUCACCGUCUCCGGCGACGGCAGGCUGCGGGGGAUGGAGGGCGAGGAGUUCGCCAUUGAUGGAAGUUGCCAAGUCAAUGUCAACGUCGGGGGCAGGUAGUGUUGACCGGCGAGCUAUGGACAUGGCGAGCCUGUUUCCUUUUCUAUGUUUGUGCUGAUCAUUUUCCAACCUGCGCAGCGAGUCUUGGGCCCUCUUUAUUCAUUGCGCAGGGCGUGCUUCGGCAUGGUCAUCCCGACCCGCAGGAGUGGUUGGUGGGAUACUUCAUCAAGACAGAAAGUCUCCGCCGACGCGCCAUUUCCGCGAACCAGUCAACAGCUCGCUUUGUGGGCUCCUUUACUCAUUAAAAAAAGGAAAAAUGAACAAUGGGGUGGGUCACUCUAUAAUAUCGGGAUUGCGAUUGCUCUUAGCCCACACGGUGGAGUGGGGUCCAGUAAAAGUUGACUUAAGCGUCUGGGAUAAGAGAAAGUCAAUGCCUUCAUGAAAGGCUUGCUUCUAUCUAUCUAUCAAACAGAACAGCAGUUCUGGGCGCUUUAGAAGCACUGGUCAUAAGAAUAAUUUUUUACUAUAAUUAGGAAAAUUUAUCUGUUGCGGUGUUUGAAAUAUGUAUUGAAACGAAACUCCCCAUAAAGCCUUCUGAAUUAUCUCUGCCCCCUUCAAUCUUUUUGUUCCAUUUUGAAGGUCCUUGGAAGUAUGCUAUUUCUUUCUUUUUUUUAUUAACCCUGCUCUCUGAGUAUUUCUUGCAUGUACCAUGUAACGUUAUGGGGCACGGAUUAGAUUACCUUCCUAAUGAGUGCGCGCAGCCGGCCACGCCUACUCACGACUGCUUUUGGGCCGUCUAUGGGCCGGCGUCCUGCCUUUAGUGGGCCCUCUGAGGAUCUGCAAUUGGGCCGGCCCAUUUUUACUGGAAAAGGGGUCGGCCUCGCGUCCACGCCGGGAAGGGGCUUCUCGGUAGCACUCGCGCUUAUUGCCUUAAACCCUACCCGAGGCAGAGGCAGAGGCGGGGCCUGCGACCGCAGCUCCGUCUUCGUCCGCGUCUGGUUUUCCGCAUCAGAAGCUGGCUUUGGGCGGCGGAUGCGCGGGAGGACGAGGUCCUCCUCCUCCUCCUCCUCUUCUGUCUGUGUAUUCCUUUUCCGGACCACGCGCCUCUUCUUUGUUCGCUUCUCCACCUGCGUCCUCCUCCGUCACGGUCUAAUAAGACGUUAAGAUGUUGGAGAGUUUAUUUCUCUGGACGCUGGAACGAUGUCUUUUGAUUAAUUAUUCUGCAUUUUGGUGGAAAACUUUCCUCAGCGCGGCUGCUUCGUCGUCGGGAAAUCUGCGGCUCGUUCUACAACGGCUGCUGUUCAUUGUAGGCUGGAUCAUCUUAUCUUGUUUCAAUUUCCUUCGGUUGGGAAGAUAAGCCUGAAAAGAUUUCAUUCUGUGCAGGAUGAUGGGCCCAUUUAUCCUCCCUUCUCUCUUCACCCGGAUGACGGGCCUCCUCGUUGGACUAAACACUUUCUGUAAGUUCGUCCCUAAAUCUAGAAGAAAUUGCAGCUUCAUGACUAUGCACCUAUCAUCAAGAAAAAUUAUAUUUCUCAUGAUGGUAACUUAGAAAAGUCAUUUCAGAGUAUGUUUUAGAGGAUUAAGUAAAUAUUUACAGAGAUUAAUGUGUAUACUUAACUAAAAACUCAUGCAAUGCAUUUAUAAUUCUGAUAUAGAUGCUAUUUCUAAAAAUAGUUGGCCUUAAUUGGCAUGUAAAGAUAUUGCAUCAACACCCAUCCAUCCCUUGUCUUGGGCUCAUUCUUGCUUUCAUCUGCUGGGCCUACAUAAGGCUUCGACCUCGCCCACAGAGAUUUUGAAGAAAGUAGAAAGUUUUGUGUUUGACGCUCUUCUAUGGAGAUGGUUGGAAGACCCCGUUGCCCUGAUUGGGUUUGGUCAAGAGUCUUGACCCCAUCGUCUCGAUAGAAUUGGCUGCGACGUCCCUGUUGCCCAGCAGGGUGGGUUGGUUGGUUGGUUGGUUGGGAGGACCCCGCCGCACCGUUGCCACCGUCACUUUCAUUGAUGGUGCUGCUAUCCCCAUCCACUGCCACCCUCGCCUCUACAUCUGCCAUCACCAUCACCGCUAUCACCGUUGCCUUCAUUGCCAUACUGCCUCAGAUCCGCACUCCAGUGCUGCCAUCGUCGUUGUCGUCCCUCCACAGCCUUUGCUGUCUGCCCCUUCACCGCCCCCACCGCCACCACCCCCAUCGUCCGCCGCUACUGUCUGCCACCAUCUCCAUUCUCUGCCCUCCGCUUGGCCUGCCGCUGCCCACUCUGCUCUUUUGAGAUGAGUUUCUCUCUUCUCAUCUUUCCGGUUAGGGUAAAAUCUCGCCGAUUCGGUCCAUUUAUCUACAUCCAAGCCAGCUCGAGCCCCUAGUUUGAGCCAACCCGUCGUUCCAGUCUGAACCCGUUCCAUGACGCCUGAUCUGCACAAGGCCGCCUUGCCGGAUCGGACCACCCUAGUCUGCGUCAGUCCACUCAGCCUAGUUCCGGCCACAGCCUAGUCAACAGUCAACGACCUGGUCAACGAUCAACUUCGGCAAUCAAAGUCUCAAGUGACUUCCUUCCACAGCCGAUGAUCCACGACCUUAUAUUUCUCUAAUCAUUUAUUAUGUUCUUCUCGUGACUGUCACAGAGUGAUCAUAAGAGAUAUUUUGGGCAGAGGCCCAGUUGAUUGGGCAUGCGGUAGAAUCUUCUGGACAUAUUUUUGUUUGAUUCGUUAUUAUUUAUUAGAACAAACCACAAAGUAAUACUAUUCUGUGGGCCCAUUGCUAGAGGUGUAGUAGGGCUGGCUAUGCAUCAUGCUACAUGGGCUCAUUUAUUUUCGAGUUGGAUCACAAGGGACUAGGCCUACUCAACUUCACAAAUUCAUCGAUUAAAUGGGUUAAUAUCAUUGGGCAUGAUGGGCAGCCACUAGACUCGAGAUCUACAUUAAGCCAACUAUUGUUGUCGAGCAAGAACCCAAAAUCACUUUUUCUUUAGCCCUAAGUAUGGAGGGGCACAAUCUUUAAACAGUGACCAGGAGAUGCCCCAAUAAUACAGUUGAUAGCACAAAAAUCAUGGCUAAUCAAGGAACUAGACUAAGGUUUCUCAUAUUCGAAAAGGCUUUCGAAAAUCUAGGAAACGUCACGGCUUCUCAAAUUUAUUAGGGUGCUUGGGAAGGCCUCUUCUUAUUGACCAUGCAUCUUUCACCCUACCGCUAUAUGGGACUCCUCUCCUCAUUCCAUUCAUAAAGGGCCUCCUUUGAGCCUGCCUUCUCAUAGUCUUGCCAGCAUACACUGUGCAUCAAACACCAUGCAUCAAAGCAUACUCAUUGAAGCCCCACACCCAGGACUUGUGAGGAGCUCUUAGAGAACAAAUGAGCCCUGGUUUUCACCCAACAUUUCCAUUCUGAACUACACCCACAUCCUAGUUAAUAUUUUGGAGGGUGACAUGAGAUCUCCAACUCACACCCAGAAGAGGACGGUCUAAUGUUUGGUAACUUAACUUUGAAGCUCACUAUGCUUACCCUUGGGAUGUGACUUGACGAGGACAACUUCAAGAUUAAGGUUCUAACAUGAAGAGAAGACAACAAAUUCAGCCACAACAUUCGUUCCCCCGGUCAAGCAUAUACUCCCCUCAUACUUCAUUUGAGCUAAUUUUUCCCAAUUCAUUAGGCUUGAUUUUUCCUCUUGGUUAGUUAGAGCUUCUGUAGCUUCCCCACCAUUAAGGGAUUCCCCUCCUCUUCAAUAGCCAGCACCUCUUACAUUACCCUAAUCUAGCUGUCGCUCCAUGUUUUUAUUUGGUUGAAUAAUUCAGAUAACAUAUAUGGGAUGCUUCUAACUUCGUGUAUAUUUAUAAUAUGCUUUAUUUUGAAUUUACAUUGAUAUGAUGCGAAUAUUGUAUAAGCAUUUGGCAGUAUCUCUUGCAUAUGGCGUGCAUCACGCCCUAAAAGUUAUGUUUCUAGUUAACCAGAAACCUUGAACGUGUUCUAAAUCCUCCAACAUUUUUUUAUGCUUAUAAUAAUCAUCCCUUUAACGAUGGAAUAUGCUCACAUAUGCUCUUUUACUAUGAUAUAUUCUUCUCUAUCUGUUUGGAAUAUUAAUUCAUUUAGUCGGGUGUGAAGAUUAUUGACAAGAAUAUGCAUCGUGCCCAUUAUAAGAAAAUUUGACUUAACUUAUUAGUUUGGUGUGCUAUUACCGUAUCAUGCAAGAUUGUCCCCACUUCAUGUUUUUUCCCAUGCUGAAAUAUUUUUCAUAUACAUCAGAUUAUGCAGUAUAAAUAACAUACAGAGGAUAAUAGCUUAGUGAAUCACACACAAAUGCCAAAAUCUGUCUCAUAAAAAGAAAGAAACACUUGAAUUAAAUUCAUAUUGACAUUAAAAAAGGUGUCUCCUUAUUCCCCACAAAAUGAUUCACAUCAAGAUGACAACUAGUAGAACUAGCGAUAUGGUUAUGCUGAUGGGAGAAAGACACUUUUGCUUGUUCGCGAACGAUGAACUUGGCCUUGGUGAAUUGGAACUUUGUUGAAUGGGGCACAGCUCUUCAAGCCCUUCAAUCCUAAAUUUUUGAAACAUAGUAAAAAAAAAUAUUUUUUUUUGUCACAGCAGAUAGGAAAUCACAAGAUGAAAAAUGUGCAGCCUAUCAUAGCUUUAUAACGUAUGAUCUCGUGGUGGUACGAGAGACAUACAACAACAUCUCUACAUUAAGUAUAUUUCCAAGAUAUAUAUGAGAAUGAAUUUCCAUUAUUAUUCAAAUGUAAAGGACUGGGGCUUUUCAUUUGAAGUAAUAUGAGGACAAACCUUAAAGAAGGACGCCCGUUUGUUAAUUUUUCGCAAAGGUCUUCAGGCGGACGAGUGAUGUUAUUGCCAACCAAAUUCCUGAUAGAAAGGUUGAGAGGCAUCAUUUUAUCGGUGAUAUACUUAAUUAGUGUGUACUGAUGAAUUCAAAAUCCUGAAACUCACAGCAACUUAAGAGCAGGUAAUUCUGCCAAAAAGUCUGGAAAUGAGCCCGAGAGAUUGUUGUUUGACAAAUCCCUAUAACAAAAAAACGAAUAAUAUAAACCUUCAAAGUAUCACCUCCACCCAAAUCUUUCAAAACCGCAGGAGGAGUUCUUACAAGGUUGUUAAGGCGGUGAGGAUCGCAAUGGAGCCAGGAAUUCCACCAACUAGUCCUCUCGAUGAUAAGUUCCUGCAUUAUUGAUAUAAAGUCAAACUCAGAUAAAUAAAUGGCUGGAGUUGGAUAUUUGGGUUUAGUUUCGUAUCGAAUGGGCUCAACCCCCUUACAAAGAGAUGAUCCUUGGGGCCUCGAAGCCGUCAGAGUAGUUGCAGCGCAACCCAUCCCAGGUAUAGUCUUUGGGGACACAUGGGUCCCCCUGCCAAAUUUUCGUCAGAUUGUACGCUGUUCUGAUGUCUUGGAUCGCUCGAACUGGACAGAAGAUCGCGGUAAAUAAAUAGCCGAGAUGUGAAAAUAUAGAACCGGAACACUUUCUUCCCUCACAUUGAAUCUAGGUAGCCAAGCAAAAAAAAUGCCAUGGAAAUCGAGACACUUGGGUAGAAUCCUUGGGGUCUUCCUUAUAAGGAGGCUAGGACCAAACCGAUAGUUUUACAGUUGGCUCGCUCAUACUUUUGAAAACGCAGUUCGAGAUAAAUGACCAAUUUUUUUCGAAAGGAAAAACGAGGGUUCGCGUGACUAAAUUAAAAUGGGAGGUAAGUCGGGUCUCACCAUCGCCGAGGUCAGUCGGAAGUUGGUCGACUUUCCGCACCAGAAAGCUCUCCAUGGCGUUGAUCAUCGGAGGCAACGUCGAUGACCUCAAGGGGAUCAGAGAGAUGUUGUAUAUCCCCGUCUGCCCGACUGCGGCGUCGGUGAUCUCUACGUGAUCUGCCUCAAGGAACGGAGGGCUGUAAGUCGUUAAACUCUUUUGAGUGCUACCCUCCCCGAGGAUGUCCAUGAUCCUCGUCUGUUCGAGGGGGCUCAAAAUUUGGAGCUCGGCGAAGUGCAGGACGGCGUAGACUAUGUCAUCCGGAUCUUCGACGAGCGUCCGGAGGAUCAACGAGUAGCUGACGUUUGGAGCCGAGACGGCCGUCCUCAGAACGAGCGAUGGUACCUGGAAGGGGUCAGUUGGUGUCGCCUCCACAGGUCUGGUGGUGCUGAUCACAGGUAAACUCCCCGCCAAGCCUUGCCAGAUGCGGUCGUAGGGGUCUUCUGGGUACCUACAAGCGAGUUGACUUCUCUUCUCAGAUUCAUGCUGACGGCCGAUCGCUCAUGGAAGGAAGCCCCUACUUAGUAUCUAAUUUACUGCAUAACGAAGACAGCAAGGGGGGGGGGGGGUUUGGGGUGGGCGCGCGGGCGUUGGCCAAGUGUGCGUUGUUCAUGUGGAUGCCUUUCACCUGAACAGGGCCUCUGUUCCGAAGUUCAGGCGCUGUUGGAGAUGUAAACUCUGAGACGCGUUGGCGUGGGGGUAUAAGAAGUUUGGUAGCGGCCUCAGCUGGAUCGUGGAUAUGAUGGGUGUCCCCUUCUUCUUGUUGAUUAGGCAGACCCAUAAAUUGUCCCCCUGGGCGGCCGCGAUGACCUCAGAGAUACUGCUGUCGUUUGAUGAUAAUCGGAUGGUGAGCCUGGCGUUGACUCCGAUGUGCAGCUCGAACUCGGGGGGGCUUUGCCGGCCGUCGUAGUCGCCAUAGAAGAACCCGGCUCGCACCAGGUACUUGCUCCCUGGCUGCACUGGCCGGAGGUUGUAGCAGUUCCGAACCCCCUCCGGAAAGACGCGGAGGGUCUGGUAGCGCCUAGGGAGGUCAUCCGCCGCAACGGUCUUCGCCUCCCCCACGUCGACGUACUGGGUAUCGGGGACGUAGGUUAUCCCGGUGGCGUUGUCUGGGUAGCCCGGCCCAUCAGGCAGGCCGCAGUCAACGCUGAUGAAUCCUGCAUGAUCCAUUUGGUUCAUUAAUGUGUACAUCGGGCAGUGAGAGGAAAAAUAGAGUGCCUACCUACCUGGCUGUGCUCCAACCAGGGCGUGUUCUAGUCUCAGGAAGAAGAAGAGGAAGAGGAAGAGGAAGAAGAAGGUGCACGGAAGGCCUCGACUCGGUGGAGAGUUCAUCUCUCUCGUUACCUCCGGCGAGGGAAGGCUUCGGCUGGAGUGGCGAUAGACGGAU